GGCAGCAAAAGGUGUUCACGAAAUUUCUAGGCCCCCAAUACACCACUGAGUACAAAAGGGUGGAGAUGAAUCAAGCAUUUGACAUCCUCUCUCAUCAUCCAGCAAUCUUGGUUGGGGAGGGGUUUCCCAUUACUUCUAGUAUACAAGAAUGCCUCAACUAUGUGUGUCGUGGGUACAUGGCGGAUGCGACAGUGAAGGCAAUCAUUGAUAAGCUCACUAAGGACCAGUCUUCCUUCAAGGCAUUUUCUUUGGGAGCAAGGUUGUCAAAAUCGUGAUCCUGAAUCGGAUCGGAGCUUCGAUGGCAGGAGCGCAAAUCGUAGAAUCUUCACUAUCAAGAUCAUAGAAACAAUUAUUCUAUGAACCAAAAUCAUAGAAUCAAAGGAUUUGAUCAGAUCCUAAAGUCGUAGAAUCAUAUAACAAAAUCUCGAUUCUGACAACCUUGCUUGGGAGGAUGGCUUGCUUCGCUACAAAGCGAGCAUUUGGGUGGGUGCAACAUUGAAAUGCAUGCAUGAUUUGCCCCGGUCAAUGCAAAGCAAUAACAAAUGAAUAUGUAUUCAAAGCUGUGAAAUACAUCUUUUAAAUACAUAUAUCAGGAAAGUGACACCUAGACAAACUAUACAGUCAGAAGAAGUUACCAACACGCUGAUGGUGAAAAGUAACAUGUGGUAUAGCUCCAGUAAACAUUGUCUUCUAUAUAUGUGGAUUAAAUAUUCACCCCUCUCUUAUUACAUCACUACACCAUAUUUUUAAGUCCUGUAAAUUUUGUCUAAGUCGGAAGUGAGAAGAGAAGGUAAGAAAAUGUAUCUUGGGCGCCAAAAAAUAUAUUUUAUGUGACAUAAAAUUGCAAAUGUAAAAACACAUUACAAAUUAUACAUAUAAAUUUCAAUUUUAUGAUCUUAUGACUCAUAACUUACUUUUCUUAUGCCGAAUUUUGUAUAGUGAAUCAAUAUGAAUGUAACUAUUUGUAUAUCAAACGUAUUUUUUUUACAAAACGGUCAUAAAAU
rnacentral:lncRNA from 1 species